rnacentral:rRNA from 1 species
CCUACGGGUGGCAGCAGUGAGGAAUAUUGGUCAAUGGGCGGAAGCCUGAACCAGCCAAGUCGCGUGAGGGAAUAAGGCCCUACGGGUCGUAAACCUCUUUUGCCGGGGAGCAAGGGCGGGGACGUGGCCCGGCCCGGAGAGGACCCGGAGAAAAAGCAUCGGCGAACUCCGUGCCAGCAGCCGCGGUAAUACGGAGGAUGCGAGCGUUAUCCGGAUUGAUGGGGUUGAAAGGGUGCGUAGGCGGCCCUGCAAGUCAGAAGGGAACUCCCUGGGCUUUACCCGUGAACUGCUUUUGAAACGGUCGGGCUUGAGUGAAGUAGCGGCAGGCGGACUUCCCGGUGUAGCGG